CACCGACCGAGAGAGACAGAAAAGGAGGCGGUCGAGGGAAUCUGAGAAGGCGCACAAGGUUUGUGUCCAAUACGCUCCACACCUUGCGCUACUCAGGUCUGCUCGUGCCCUCCCAUGGUAUCAGCUCUCCUGCGAUGUGGGGA
ensembl:miRNA